CCUACGGGAGGCAGCAGUGAGGAAUAUUGGUCAAUGGACGAGAGUCUGAACCAGCCAAGUAGCGUGAAGGAUGACUGCCCUAUGGGUUGUAAACUUCUUUUAUAUGGGAAUAAAAUGUUCCACGUGUGGGAUUUUGUAUGUACCAUAUGAAUAAGGAUCGGCUAACUCCGUGCCAGCAGCCGCGGUAAUACGGAGGAUCCGAGCGUUAUCCGGAUUUAUUGGGUUUAAAGGGAUCGUAGGUGGAUUGUUAAGUCAGUUGUGAAAGUUUGCGGCUCAACCGUAAAAUUGCAGUUGAAACUGGCAGUCUUGAGUACAGUAGAGGUGGGCGGAAUUCGUGGUGUAGCGGUGAAAUGCUUAGAUAUCACGAAGAACUCCGAUUGCGAAGGCAGUUCACUGGACUGCAACUGACACUGAGGCUCGAAAGUGUGGGUAUCAAACAGGAUUAGAUACCCGAGUAGUC
rnacentral:rRNA from 1 species